rnacentral:rRNA from 1 species
CAGUAGCCGCGGGAAUACGUAGGGUGCAAGCGUUAAUCGGAAUUACUGGGCGUAAAGCGUGCGCAGGCGGUUAUAUAAGACAGAUGUGAAAUCCCCGGGCUCAACCUGGAAACUGCAUUUGUGACUGUAUAGCUAGAGUACGGCAGAGGGGGAUGGAAUUCCGCGUGUAGCAGUGAAAUGCGUAGAUAUGCGGAGGAACACCGAUGGCGAAGGCAAUCCCCUGGGCCUGUACUGACGCUCAUGCACGAAAGCGUGGGGAGCAAACAGGAUUAGAUACCCCGGUAGUCCCUGUCUCUUAUAC